GCGGAUAUGGUUUAGUGGUAAAACACGGGCUUCCCAAGCCUGGGUUGCGGGUCCGAUUCCCGCUAUCCGCUCCA
rnacentral:tRNA from 1 species